ACGAACGCUGGCGGCGUGCCUAAUACAUGCAAGUAGAACGCUGAAGGCGGAGCUUGCUUCUCUGGAUGAGUUGCGAACGGGUGAGUAACGCGUAGGUAACCUGCCUGGUAGUGGGGGAUAACUAUUGGAAACGAUAGCUAAUACCGCAUAAUAGCAGUUGUUGCAUGAUAACUGUUUGAAAGGUGCAAUUGCACCGCUACCAGAUGGACCUGCGUUGUAUUAGCUAGUUGGUGGGGUAACGGCUCACCAAGGCGACGAUACAUAGCCGACCUGAGAGGGUGAUCGGCCACACUGGGACUGAGACACGGCCCAGACUCCUACGGGAGGCAGCAGUAGGGAAUCUUCGGCAAUGGACGGAAGUCUGACCGAGCAACGCCGCGUGAGUGAAGAAGGUUUUCGGAUCGUAAAGCUCUGUUGUAAGAGAAGAACGAGUGUGAGAGUGGAAAGUUCACACUGUGACGGUAUCUUACCAGAAAGGGACGGCUAACUACGUG
rnacentral:rRNA from 1 species